AACCUGGUGACUUAACGAUACACUUCUCAAUGACCACAAACUAGUUUCCCAGCUCAAGGAAGACCUAGCAUCCUAUUUUUCCAUCAAUGACACAUGACACAUUGAUGGAAAAAUAGGAUGCUAGGUCUUCCUUGAGCUGGGAAACUAGUUUGUGGUCAUUGAGAAGUGUAUCGUUAAGUCACCAGGUG